CCCUGUUGCCAUGGCAGCGCGGCGCCGUCCCGCCGGGAGCGCCCCGGAGGCAGGGGAACCGGGAAUGUGUUAGCAACAGCUUGCCAGCAGGCCGAGGGAGCUGAUCCUGCCCCUUCUGCUCCGCCCUGGGAUAGGCUGAGAGACCAGGGCCUGUUCAGCCUUGAGAAGAGAUGACUGAGAGGGGACCUCACACUGACUAUAAGUGUCUGAAGGGAGGGUGCCAAGAGGAUGGAUCCAGGCUCUUCUCAGUGGUGUCAAGCAAUAGCACAAGAGGCAGUGGGCAGAAACUGAUACACAGGAAGUUCUACCUGAAUAUGAGGAAGAACACCUUUACUGUGUGACAGGAGCAGCAUCCAGCAGCUGUUUGGGACUCCUUGCCUGGGCGGUCCCAGAAAGGCCUGAGCCCACUGAUCCCGGUUAGGCUGCACUGGCUUUGUGCCUGUC